GUCGAGUUUCCUCAGUAAAUCUGACUGAGAACUGGGCUCGCCAGUCGGCCUGACUCGACUCAGGUUUUCUAUGCUUAUUCUCAUUUUACCCCAAGCGGCAGGUUAAUUUCUAUGAACAUUCUCACUUUAUCCACAUUCAACUCUCUCCUUACUACAUGUGUUCAUUAUUUCCAAUUGAUUUAUUUCAAUCAACUAGUUAAUUAUCGCAAUCGCAGUUAUAAUAACUUGUGAUACAGCAGAGGUGUAAAAAGGAAAUAACAUCGUGUCUGGAAUAAGGUCUGGACGUGAAGAAAAUUACGAUGAAAAAAAUGAAAAAGCUCCUGCAGGUUAUCAAAGAUGCUAUGAACGAUUAUAUAAAAGACGCUGGCGAUAAGAAGAUCUUCCCCCACAAAAAACAAAUUCAAGCGUGACAACUUUUAUGAACUUCUAAAAAAUCGGAUGAUAGGGAGCAUGGAUUAAAAACACCCACUUUCAAAUUGAAACAACAGUACUUUAUGUAAUGAGUUUUGAACGGGAAUCAUGGAUGACAUUUUAAAUGUUUUAUUGUUCCGAGCUUUCGACAGCGAGCUGCUAUCUUCUUCAGGGAGCGAUAUUGAAAUUUAAAUUUAAAU